rnacentral:rRNA from 1 species
GACGAACGCUGGCGGCGUGCCUAAUACAUGCAAGUAGAACGCUGAAGAGAGGAGCUUACUCUUCUUGGAUGAGUUGCGAACGGGUGAGUAACGCGUAGGUAACCUGCCUUGUAGCGGGGGAUAUCUAUUGGAAACGAUAGCUAAUACCGCAUAACAAUGGAUGACACAUGUCAUUUAUUUGAAAGGGGCAAUUGCUCCACUACAAGAUGGACCUGCGUUGUAUUAGCUAGUAGGUGAGGUAAUGGCUCACCUAGGCGACGAUACAUAGCCGACCUGAGAGGGUGAUCGGCCACACUGGGACUGAGACACGGCCCAGACGCCUACGGGAGGCAGCAGUAGGGAAUCGUCGGCAAUGGGGGCAACCCUGACCGAGCAACGCCGCGGGAGUGAAGAAGGUUUUCGGAUCGUAAAGCUCGGUUGUAAGUCAAGAACGGGUGUGAGAGUGGAAAGUUCACACUGUGACGGUAGCUUACCAGAAAGGGACGGCUAACUACGUG